CUUGGCGACCAUAGCGUUGUGGACCCACCUGAUUCCAUGCCGAACUCAGAAGUGAAACGCAAUAGCGCCGAUGGUAGUGUGGGG
rnacentral:rRNA from 1 species